GGGGGGAAUAUUGGACAAUGGGCGAAAGCCUGAUCCAGCCAUGCCGCGUGUGUGAAGAAGGUCUUCGGAUUGUAAAGCACUUUAAGUUGGGAGGAAGGGCAGUAAGUUAAUACCUUGCUGUUUUGACGUUACCGACAGAAUAAGCACCGGCUAACUUCGUGCCAGCAGCCGCGGUAAUACGAAGGGUGCAAGCGUUAAUCGGAAUUACUGGGCGUAAAGCGCGCGUAGGUGGUUUUGUAAGUUGGAGGUGAAAUCCCCGGGCUCAACCUGGGAACUGCCUCCAAAACUGCAUGACUAGAGUACGGUAGAGGGUAGUGGAAUUUCCUGUGUAGCGGUGAAAUGCGUAGAUAUAGGAAGGAACACCAGUGGCGAAGGCGACUACCUGGACUGAUACUGACACUGAGGUGCGAAAGCGUGGGGAGCAAACAGGAUUAGAAACCCGGGUAGUCC
rnacentral:rRNA from 1 species